GGACUGAUCCCCGGCUACCAAGACUAACUUUAAACAGUGCUAAAAAAAAUCUUACUGUUUUGACAACAUUCACUUCACAUUUAUCAAGAUAUCAUAGAGGAAAGACACAGCAUAGUCUGAUAGAAGCUAUCAUUCGAGGAGCCAGACACUUGUCAAGGGAGCACUGAGGAGGCUAUUAUUCUGAGGCUAGGUGUGAAGGCUCCUGAGCCGUAAUGGCAAUGGAAGAUACUGAUAAUUGGCCUGAAAAUCCAGAUGAUGUCAUGUUCUUAAAAAGAUCUGACCCUCUUUUGUCUGAAGCUGCAGGAAAAAUGACUGCUUCUGUCAUUCAAACUGAAGAAUGUCAGGAAAUGUGGAGCCAGGUCGUCUAUCUUUUAUACAGUCAUUAGUUUAAAACUCUCCAGCUGUCAGCCGGAGUAAGUGUAGUUGACAGCAUAAGGCAGAGGCAUUACACCUAAAGAUAUUUUGUAUUUGUAUUUCUUGCUUCUAGCAGUGACUGGUUCUAGCUGAUUUUAGCUAGUAGGUUGUGUUAAGAGGCUUUGCAUUUUCUUGUUGAUUCGAUCAAUGGCCAGUGAGAAUUUAAAAAAUAUGUUGGUGUUUUAUUAAAAACUUAUAUAUAGAGAGAAUUGACUUGAUUUGUUUUACCUGUGUAACUUCCACUUUUUAAGAAUAAUAUCCUUUGUUCUUUUUUUGUACCUUUACUGUGCCCUCUGUUCCUUCUCAGGUCAUUUUGUGUGAAUUUCAGACCCUCAGCAACUUUAAAUAGAUAGACACAAAAGCCAUAAUCUUGAAGAGAGCAACAAGAAUGUGAUGCUUUGGGGGGUGGGAGUGUCCUUGACAGAGGUGUGUCACAGCAGCAUGUUGUACCGAUGCACACAACUGGGAGCCCCUAACUCAUUAAACUUGGGAAGUAUAAACCAAGACAGUGUACACACUCAUGAGUUAACAGGACCAAAACAUUUGUAUAGAAUAUUUAUCUAUUUUUCAGUCUGUCUGUUUAUCAUGUUUGCACAUGUUCCUGAAACACAAAAUCAAAAAUCAUUAAGGAACAUAUGUUUGAUAUAUACUGAAGGCAUGCCAAUGAAAUAAACUCAAUUUGACCAGAUUCUAUUAAAUUUAACAUUUUAAUAUUUUAUAUUGUCUUUACAUAAUAAAAUUAUAACUUGUACAGGAGCACCUUUGCACUUUACUAAAAACACUUUAACUAGCACUUUAUUUAGCAUCACACUUUAAGCAUAGAUUUGCACAUCAAUAACAUCUGUACACAAGAGGUUUCAUUAUUUAUUAAAUAUUUAUUGAGUAUUUUAAUAAUUAGCAGGUAGCCUUUUGUUCCAGGUCCUGUACAGCUGCUCCUCAUCAAGAAGUGUGGUAGUUUUCUGUGAGGAGGAAAGAAUUGUUACUGGGAGCAAAUAAGGUCUACUAUUAAGGGUGCUUGGGCAAAUGUUUCUCUGAGGGUCCAGACAACAUUUAAAGGUUCCGGGAGAGGCCAUGGGUUAAGGGAGUGUGGGGAAUCUCUGUGCACUGGGCUUUUGGUAAAAUGUAAAAUAUUUAAUCAUAUGAAAAUGGUACAAUGUAUGUAUAUAUUUAUUUAUUAAAAUGGUGUAUUGUAGAAUGUUGGUGGAAGGUUGGAAUUUGGAAAAACUCACCUGACAGUAAAAUAAUGGUUUAGUCCUUAACAGCUGAGAAGGCUGAUAAUUGUCAUUAAAUAGGAGAGUGACUGUUUGUGCUGUGAGAAGGCUUGACAUGCCGGUGACUGUCAUGGCCUUAAAGCUAUAUGUGGGCAAAUAAAUGCCUCUUGCUUCUGCCAUACUGUGUCUUGGUCUUCCUCACUGUAAAUCCAGCUGCAAACGGCUGCCCUGUUACAUUACCUGAUGCCAGCAUUUUGAGCCUGCAUAUUUUGAGUGUAGCCUAAUUUUAAAAGAAUCAGUUCAGUUCAGAAUUCUAUAAUAUAUAGUUUUAAUUUCAAAAAACAUGUUUAAAAGGUAUUGGCAUUGUGUUUUCAGCAGAAACAGGCGCUGGAUGCUCAGCACUAAAGGUGAGGCCAUGUUUGAGGGCAUGUACCUUCCUGCACUUUUUGCAGCCUUGUACAUAUUUAACUUUGAAUACCAGGAGGAGAUGGCAUCCACCUUUGAGUUCAUUCAAAUGUGAAGUUUGGAUUUUAACACCCUCAAAACCUUCCAUUUAGAUUCUGACUAAAGUAAAAAAUAUGUUCUGUUAGGAAAAGUGUUUUUCUUUUUCCAGGCACCUUGUAGGCAGUAAUCCAGAGAGAGGAUUGAAGGCCUCAUAGGAAAAAGGACCUUUAAACAUGCUAGCUGACUUUGCCAGUAAAUCCACGUGUCCACUCUACUGUGUAAACUAAUGGAUAAACAAAUACGUUUUUUUGAAAAGAAAAAGCAGUCACGUAAAUUAGUUUCAUUUUCCUUUGAAGAUAUUUAACAGUAAACGGUUACUGUGUCACAAAACAACAUUAAAAACAAAACCUAAAAACACCAAAUGCAUUUACCAGCUCUGUGCUCAUUAUCAAGUUAGUAGGAAGUAACUAUUUAACUGUAUCCAUAAGGCCUUUAAAUGUACGCAGCGUCCUUAUAUCUAACGUCUAGCUUCUUUCUCUAGAUUCAUUUUCACAGUCUAGAACGUUUGUUCACCCGACAGACAGGUAUGUACACUUGUCUGACAAAAAAAUCAGAUAUAAACUGGAUUCUGCUUCAGCUUCUCAGUGCAAAGAUUGCAAAAACUGUGUGAAUGCUGCUGGAGCUAAAGUUGGUUGGUGUCAUGUGUUCUGCCUCAUGCAUUCUUGAAGCUCCCUUAACUAAACCCGACAGUGUUUCCAGUAGUGGGAGAAUGUCUGAAGCAGACACACGUUGUGCUACACGUGACAAAAGAAAACUUCAGACAAUAUCCUGAACUGACUCUCCUGACAGUGGCCAAAAUUCCUGUGUGAAAAUGGUUUAACUCUGUAAUCUGUCUGUCUGUCAUGCUUCUAUCUCUCAAUCAUCCAUUUGUCUGUCUGUCAUAGAAAUAGUGAGACAGGGUUGAUUGCAAGACAGAAUAAAAAGGUAGAGAGACAUGACAGAGAGGCAGAAUGGAAAGUAAGCAAAAAGUUUAAUUUGCUGUUCACAGACAAAGAGCAAUGAAGCGCUAUACAACAAAAUAGACUAAAAUAAAUUUUUAAAAAUAGCAUGAAUCACAAGAAAAAUACAAUAAAGUACAGUUAAUAGCAGUAUAAAAAUAUUAAAAGCAAUUUAAGGCACAUAAUAGAAGAAUUAAAGUAAAUAGCAAUAAGACUCUCAAUAGAAGGCCUGUCUUUUUUUUAAGAUAUCAGAGAGAGCAAGCAGUAUAGUAUAAGAUACAUUAAAUACUCUAGAGUAUGUCUAUUUAGGGCUCAACGAUUUCUAAUUUUGGGAACCAUUAUAAAGAAUGUAAAAUAGAAGUAAUUUGAGCUUGCUUACUAGAAUGUGUCAAUAGUCAGAAGCCAUCAGCAAUUUAAAAAAAGUAAUUUAAAUGAAAGAAACAAGAAUGGGAAAUACAUUUUACAUCUGAGUCAAAGCUCAGAGAGGAAUCAAAUAUCCCCUCUGGGCUAAGUUCAACAUUCAAGAUUUCAAAUACUGAACUUAUUAGAUGGACAAAAGAACAUUUGGAACCAAAAUAAGAGUUUAUAAUGCUGAAGGACUCUUUAGUAGUAGUAGUAGUGUUUGAUAUAUGUUCAGCAAGAAUGUUGACACGCCUGAUUAUCAUAAUUCUGCCUACUUUUAACGGUAGAAAAUUAAAGUCCAAGGGAAAAUAUGCAUCAGAACCAGGUUGCUUAUAUAUUAUAAUACCAUACAAUAGGUGAAUUUCUAGAAUUUUGAUUAUAAUCAGCUUGAUGGACUAACUA